AAACUUGGUUAAAAAGUUUGUCACAAGGAGUCAGCAGAGGUCAUAGUAGGUAGAAAUGCCGAAGGAC
rnacentral:ncRNA from 1 species